GGUGAUACCACUAGUAUUAAAAUUGAGACUAUAGGAAGUUUUAUGGAUUUUGUUUUAGAAGUUUAUAGCAGUUGACACAGGUUCUGGCAAGCAAAUUAGAAUAUGGCAAUAAAGUAAAAAGACAAGAUACACUCAGAACUCCUGGCCUGCUUCUCAGACUGAUCCUGUUUUCCAUUUUUAAAUUAAAAUUUGUUUUCACUGACAAGUUAAAGACUCUGUAGAAUAUAGCCACUUUUCUGACAUUAGGAUUAUUAUGAAGGAUAACUGAAAAAGCACUGAAGUUAAUACCUUUCAUGUUAGAUGUAAAAAUCAAUUACAGUCAUUUCUGAUAGUAGAUCUCUAUUGUUGGUCCUUGAUGGUGUGAUUCCAACCAGCAGAAGAAGCUAUUGGAUGUCCAGGGUUGCCUUUAGCUGUUGGCCUUUCCACUGGGCUCUUGCAUUUCAUAGCGCAGAGUGAGCUAAUGUAAUAAUGAGUAACAUUAUUAGCUAAUGUAAUAAUGAGUAAUGUAGGUAACAUAGAUACCUACAUGCACAUACAUGCAGCUGGUGGACAAAACAACUUCUAAGAGCAAAAUAGCUAUAUAUGUGAGGUAUGCUUAUCUAAUUUAAAAUGUUACAUUAAAAUGUAUCCACAAUGUGAAUAUCUCACAUG
rnacentral:lncRNA from 1 species